AUUGAACGCUGGCGGAAUGCUUUACACAUGCAAGUCGAGCGGCAGCGCGGGGCAACCUGGCGGCGAGCGGCGAACGGGUGAGUAAUACAUCGGAACGUGCCCAGACGUGGGGGAUAACUACUCGAAAGAGUGGCUAAUACCGCAUACGAUCUAAGGAUGAAAGCGGGGGAUCGAAAGACCUCGCGCUAUUGGAGCGGCCGAUGGCAGAUUAGCUUGUUGGUGGGGUAAAGGCUUACCAAGGCAACGAUCUGUAGCUGGUCUGAGAGGACGACCAGCCACACUGGGACUGAGACACGGCCCAGACUCCUACGGGAGGCAGCAGUAGGGAAUUUUGGACAAUGGGCGAAAGCCUGAUCCAGCAAUGCCGCGUGAGUGAUGAAGGCCCUCGGGUUGUAAAGCUCUUUUGGUAGGAACGAAAAGGUCUGUGCUAAUACCACGGAACGAUGACGGUACCUGCAGAAUAAGCACCGGCUAACUACGUG
rnacentral:rRNA from 1 species